UCCGGGAGGUGGUGGUCCAUAAUAGUUUCCAUAUCCACCACCACUACCUCCAGCUCCACUACCUCCAGCUUCACUAUGUCCUUCAUCAUUCCCACCUCCGGUGGUAGGUGAGUCUCCUGAUCUUGUACUAGAGCUAUCAUUAGUAUCAGCACGAUAUUGUGGUUGUGUAGGAUUGGAAAAAGGUGGAAUUCCAGUGUUGCUUGGUCUUGGGUGCAAAAGUUCUUCGAAAGAGUCAGCGCUGCUAGAUCCUACCUCCUCCUCUAAUACUCUUUCUACAUUUAUCCCUUCAUUACGUGCUUCUUCAGCAACUCUGGGAG
rnacentral:lncRNA from 1 species